rnacentral:misc_RNA from 1 species
UAAUUUCGGCCAAUGUGGCUUGUUCUUUAUAAUUCUCCUGUUCCUGUUCUAUUUCGUGGUCUAUAAAUUGCUUCAGAGCAUUGCUUCUGAAGCUGCUAAUGCCCAUUACCACUCCACAAUCACUGUCGCUUGACUCUGGUGAAGAGCUUGUGGAGCAGGAGGAUGAUCCAGCAUCAACCUUGGCCUUGGCUUUGACCAAUGUGGCUUUCCGCCGGGCUUUCUCUUCUUUUCUUUUUCUCUUUUGCUCUGAUCUAAGUUGUUGCAGUUCUGCAAGCAAAACCUCCGUUGCUUCCGAAAGCAGCGUCCUCCCUUUGAAAUCAUGCACCAAACGGCUGCCAUAUUCUUCAACAGUUACCGUACGGCCAAAAAGGUCCAAGUCUUUGGACAAUCUUUUGAUCAACUUCAACCUUUUCUUCAUGUCUGGUUUUAUCUCUUUACUCUUCUCCUUCUGCUUCUUUCCUCCACCCAUAGACGGGGACACAUAGUAUUGCAUAUGCCCAGAAUCAGAAAAUCCACGACUCAAAAUCCCUGUAUCAUCUCUGGUUUUGAAUGAUACUCUAGAAUUUACCAUACCCAGUUGACGGAAACGUAAUUUCAAAGAGCGAUUAUCGACUCCGGCGUCGGAGAAGCGAAGAGCAGGGGAGGAAACUAC